rnacentral:misc_RNA from 1 species
GUGGAUCAGACAUGAGCGUCUGCAUCUUCUGUCGUUGGCUCUUCCACAACUCUGCAUCAGCAGUGAAUAUACCAUCGCCUAGGAUGUCAAACAUGUCAGAGAAGUCGUCUCCUUUGGGGUAGUUGGGGAAGUUGACGUUGAAGAUGUGGUUGGCAUUGGCGGGAUCGGCAGUAAAAAGGUAUUCCAUGCCAGAGAACCAUGGGCCAGAGAAGUGGAAGGUGCCGCCAGACUCGCGAGUAAGUUCUGUGACCCAAUCAUGAAACCGGUGGAGAUUUACGAGGAUGGAGGGAAGCAUGCCAACGACCAGCCAGUUCAGUGGGAGGGUCGAGUUACGACGAGCUAGGCGGUAGACGAAGAAGAUAACAAAGAGUCCAACAGAUAAGAGGAGUUCAGGGUAUGCUUGGAUUGAGGAUGGACGGAUUGCUGAAG